ACCAAAAUAAGGAGCAAACGUGACUGCUGUAAAUCAGAGUCCCAUCUUUUUAAUCUGUUUCGGGAAAAAGCAUUUAGUUGUUCAUACUCAAAGCACGUCCUCGCUGUGAGAGAUUGGACAAGAUGCAGAGAUGUGGAGAAUCCGGAGGUGGCAUCUGAAGAGGAGCUGCAGACUGUUCUGUCUCAAGACAGCCACAGAACAUACUUCAGUGUCCAAAUCAUGGCACAUGCUUUAAAUGUUGCCUGUUCAUCUAGAUCAAAGCAGAUGUUGAUGGCGGGUGGAGGAGACCAGUUGGCAUGUCAAAGGCUACAGCCAUGGCAGGUAUUUCCUUUCCCUUUCUAGAAAUCAAAGUUCUUUCUACCAACUCUGCAAUAAUCAUUCUCAUUGAUUUAGACACGAAUGCAAUAUCAAGGUGGUCUACUGCAAUAAAAAACCUAAGACCAUAUAAUAAAAGUAUAAGAAGCGAAAACAAGUUAAAAGCAGACGUCCCUCCACCUGGAGGGUGUCUGUUUAGUCUUGCCAGUAGGAGAAGUUGUGGCACAACAGGAAUUUUGAGUUCCAAGGGAGCCGGGAUGAGGCAUCUAAAAUGCUUUCUAAGUUCUGGUGUUUAGUCCUCUGUAGAUUCCAACGAGGCCAGGUAUGCCAGGACUUUGGAGCUCAAAGGAAGCAGGGAUGAGAUGUCCAAAAUACUUUGAAAUGCUGGUGUUUUCCCUGUCAUUCCAGCUUCACCCUUUCUUAAGAGAAACCCGGUUGUUGAACACUUCCAU